rnacentral:misc_RNA from 1 species
GACAACACAAAAGAUAAAUCUCUAAGUAGUAGAAGCAUAAUUAAUCACCAUCUUCUAUUAAAGAUUUCACUCCUCCACUGUUUGGCUUUGGCUGAUUCCAUCAUCAUCAGCUGUGAGGAGCAUCGGCGAAAGCAAGAAGAAACAAUCUCUAGAAGGAGAAACUGAAAAUUUCUUCAUAUUCAGGUCUUCGAUUCUCUCAUCGAAGCCCGAUAUACAACAAUUCUUUGGGCUGAAUAGUUUUUGAACGGGUUCUUGAUAACAAUCUGAGAUACUAAACAAAAGACAAUGGCAAAUAGGGGGCAAAAGCGGGUGGAAAUAAUUGAUGAAUUGCCAGCAGAUAAGAGAGCUUGUAGUUCAUUGGAGUUUAGACCAAGUUCGUCCAACUCUUCAAUUCAGACCCAAAUAAAUUCCGCAAAUUCCACCCCUGAAACCAAUGAUGCUGAAACCCACAAUGUUGAUAUGGAUACUUCGUCCUCUGGUUCAGCUUCAAGCAGGUCAGAGGAGGAAGAACAUGAGAGGGAUUCAACUCAUGACUCUUGUGAUUCUGAUGAUGCAGUACCAAAACACAGCAGUGUGCGAAGUUAUCAAAGGCAGAGAUCAUUUGGUGAUCAUGGCAGAUUGAGGAGUGCUUUGUCCCAUUUAAGUGAAGGGACCGAGCCUUCAGGGCAAUUAGCUGCUCUUACAGAAUUGUGUGAAGUGCUUUCAUUUUGUUCUGAAGAUUCUCUUUCUAGUAUGAUGGCUGACUCGUUAUCCCCAGUACUUGUUCAGCUUGCAAGGCAUGAGAGCAACCCAGAUAUAAUGUUGUUGGCUAUAAGGGCUUUAACUUAUCUUUGUGAUGUGUUUCCUAGAGCAUCUGGUUUUCUUGUUAGACAUGAUGCGGUUCCUGUUCUUUGUCAAAGAUUAAUGGCCAUUGAGUACUCAGACAUAGCUGAAGAGUGCUUGCAAGCAUUGGAGAAAAUAUCACGGGAACAACCACUUGCAUGCCUACAGGCUGGGGCUAUCAUGGCUGUUCUACGUAUUAUUGACUUCUUCUCGACAAGUGUACAAAGAGUUGCACUUUCAACAGUGGUCAAUAUAUGUAAGAAAGUUCCAGCAGAAUGCGCUUCUCCUUUCAUGGAGGCUGUUCCAAUAUUAUGCAAACUUCUACAGUAUGAGGAUCAACAGCUUGUUGGGAAUGUAGUUAUUUGCUUGAUGAAAAUAGCAGAGCGAGUCAGUCAGUCUUCUGAGAUGCUGGUUGAACUAUGCAAGCAUGGAAUAGUUAAUCAAGCUAUGCAUCUAAUACACUUGAAUAGCCGGACCACACUAUCACAACCGAUAUACAAUGUACUGGCAUUUAUCUGAAUUACAUUAUUUACAUUGACAUUUUAAUGCCUCUGAAAAAUUGUUUGCUUUUUUUCAUUUUGUUGGCAGGGUCUGAUUGGGCUACUUGUCAGACUUUCUUCUGGUUCAAUUGUGGCUUUCAGGACUCUUCAUGAGCUCAAUAUAAGCUGCACUUUGAAGGACAUAUUAGCUACUUAUGACAUCUCACAUGGAAUAUCUUCUCUCCAUGCGGUAGAAGGGCAGAGCAACCAGGUACAUGAAGUUCUGAAAUUGCUAAAUGAGCUUCUUCCUCCAGUAGCAAGGGAUCAAGAUGUUCAACAAGAAAUGUCAGAUAAGGAAUCAUUUUUAGUUAAUCACCCUGAUCUUUUGCAUAAGUUUGGGUCUGAUAUACUACCCACGUUAAUCCAGGUGGUUAAUUCUGGUGCAAAUUUAUAUGUUUGCUAUUGCUGCGUAUUAGUCAUAAAAAAGUUGGUUUAUUUCAGCAAAUCUGAAAUGCUUGCUGAAUUACUUGAGAAUGCAAACAUUUCAAGUUUUUUGGCUGGAGUAUUUACGCGGAAGGAUCAACAUGUGUUGAUAUUAGCCCUGCAAAUUGCUGAGAUAAUUUUGCAAAAACUUUCAGGUGUUUUCCUGAAUUCUUUCAUUAAGGAAGGUGUCUUUUUUGCCAUUGAUGCCCUUAUGAUCCCAGAAAAAUGUUCACAGUCAAUUUUCCCAGUAUUUAAUGGCAUCCAGUUGCCUUCAGACUCAAGCCAAAAGUUUGUAUCUAAGGUCGUACUAAGAUGCUUAUGUUAUGCAUUUGAUGCUGGUCAGUCUCCUAUAGCCUCAGAAGCAGGAACAUGCAAGCUUGAAAAGGAUGAUGUUCAAAGUCUUGCGAAGCAUAUAAAAACCACAUACUUUGCUCCAGAAUUAUGUGACUCUGAGAAUGGGUUGACAGAUAUCCUUCAAAAUCUCAGAGCUCUUUCUGCUUUGUUGAGUGAUCUGAUGAAUAUGCCUGUAAGUUCUGAUGCUUCCACUCAUGAUGAAGAAAAGUUUUAUUGUUUAUUACAUCAAGUUAUGGAAAAGCUUAAUGGAAGAGAACCUGUCUCUACUUUCGAAUUUAUUGAAAGUGGAAUUGUGAAGUCAUUAGUAAAUUGCAUAUCCAAUGGUCAGUAUCUGAGAGAAAAGGUGAAUUUUCAUGGUAGUUCUGACCAUUAUUAUCAUAUAGGAAAAAGAUUUGAGGUGUUUGCUAGGCUUUUUUCAUCUUAUUCAAGCCUUGAUGAAGUGUCACCGGUAUCACUUUUAAUACAGAAAUUGCAAAGUGCAUUAUCUUCUUUGGAGAAUUUCCCUGUUAUUUUGAGCCAUUCAUCCAAGCAAAGAAACUGGUUUGCUACUGUUCCUAAUGGACGCUGCAUGCCUCAGCCAUGUCUGAGAGUUCGUUUUGUGAGGGGAGAGGGGGAGAUGUGUCUUUGUGACUACUCUGAUGAUGCUGUCACUGUCGACCCUUAUUCUUCUUUGGAUGCUGUUCAAGAAUUUUUGUUGCCUAAAGUUAGAAUCGAAAAAACCAAUCCAAUAGAAACAGCUGCUUUAGCCAUGGAUCCAAUGGAAAGUGUACAGCUUCAAAUUCCAUCAAAUGUGAACCCUGGGCCUGGACAAGGUGAAAGUUCAGGUCGUGUGGAGCCUGACAACAUGUCUACUGAUUUGACUGAGAUUCAGGAAGAUGAGGCUAAAUUAUCAGAGUCUCCCCUGGGACAAGCAGAAAAUUUACAACAGAGAAAUCCUGGUGAAACUACAUUUUCAAAUGAUAGUCAUCUUGCCUCUGUAGAGAAGCUAGUACAAGAUCCUUCUGCGGAAGACAUGAGUAGACAAAGUCAGUAUCCUCCAUCCUCUAGCAAUGGUGAUGCUUUUUCAAAACUAGCAUUUUACCUAGAAGGGCAAGAGUUGGACCGGGCUUUGACAUUGUAUCAGGCAGUUCUCCAACAGAAAAUUAAAGCAGACCAUGAAAUUAAUAUGGGGGCAAAGCUAUGGAGUCAAGUAUACAUUCUGACUUAUAGAAUAGCUGUAGAACCUAAAGAUGAUAACCCUCAAAAAUGUCAUAUUUCAGCGCAAGAUUCUUUUGCAUUGGAUAAAAUUGAGGCUUAUAUGCAGAAUACUUCUCUUUUCACUAACAUAUUUAAUUGUGAACUUUCUUCUGACUUGGAUAAGUCAAGUCCUACUUAUGAAGUUUUGUUUUUACUUAAAAGUUUGGAAGGCUUGAACAGGUUUACAUUUCAUCUGAUGUCUCAUGAAAGAAUACAUUCAUUUGCUGAAGGACUAGUUGAUAACUUGGAUAAUUUAAAAGUAGAAGUUCAUUCAGUCUCACAGAAUGAGUUUGUGAGCAGUAAGUUGACAGAAAAACUGGAGCAGCAGAUGCGGGAUUCUUUGGCUUUGUCUGUAGGUGGUAUGCCAUUGUGGUGUAAUCAGCUUAUGGCUUCAUGCCCCUUUUUAUUUAGCUUUGAGGCAAGAUGUAAAUACUUCCGGUUGUCAGCAUUUGGACCUCAGUUAGUUCAACCUCAGACACUAUCAAAUAAUAAUUCAGGAGUUCCAAGAGACGGGCGAUCAAGUCCUGGUAGUUUGCCCCGUAAGAAAUUUGUAGUUUGGCGUGACCGAAUACUGGAAUCUGCUGCCCAAAUGAUGGACCUUUAUGCUCAUGUCAAAGUUCCCAUUGAAGUGGUGUAUAAUGAAGAAGUUGGUAGCGGUCUUGGUCCCACAUUGGAAUUUUAUACCCUGGUCAGUCAUGAGUUUCAGAAGUCUGGCAUUGGCAUGUGGAGAGAGGAUCAUAGUUCAUUUCUGGACAGGAAAGGAUUGCAGACUGAGGAUUCUGGAAUUCUGAUGUCUCCUUUUGGCCUUUUUCCUCGUCCAUGGCCAUCCAGUUUGGAUUCAUCUGAUGGGAUACAGUUUUCUGAAGUCAUUAAAAAGUUUGUCCUCUUGGGGGAAGUUGUAGCAAAGGCUCUUCAAGAUGGAAGGGUCUUGGAUCUGCCAUUCUCAAAAGCCUUCUAUAAGCUUAUCCUUCAGCAGGAACUUAGUCUGUACGACAUUCAGUCCUUUGAUCCUGGGCUGGGCAGGACACUGUUAGAGUUUCAGGCCUUGGUUAAUAGGAGAAAAUUUUUGAAAUCAGCUUUAGAAGAAAACUCGUGUAACACUGUAGAUGCAUGCUUUCGGAAUACUAGAAUUGAGGAUCUUUGUCUUGACUUUACUCUUCCUGGCUAUCCUGAUUACAUUCUUCACCAAGAUCACAAAAUGGUAAAUAUGGAUAACUUGGAGGAGUAUGUAUCUCUUGUUGUGGAUGCUACUAUAUAUGCUGGAAUUUCCAGACAAGUUGAAGCCUUCAAGUCUGGAUUUAAUAAGGUUUUUCCAAUCAAGCAUCUUCAGAUUUUCAUUGAGGAGGAAUUAGAGAGAUUGCUAUGUGGAGAACGUGAUUUUUGGGCUUUUAAUGAGCUGUUGGAUCAUAUCAAAUUUGAUCAUGGAUAUGCUGCUAGCAGUCCUCCAAUCACUAAUUUACUGGAAAUCAUCCGAGAGUUUAGUCAAGAACAGCGGCGAGCAUUUCUGCAGUUUGUAACUGGGGCACCUCGGCUUCCUCCAGGAGGUUUGGCAUCUUUGAAUCCAAAACUGACAAUUGUCCGGAAGCAUUGUAGCAAUUACGUGGAUGCAGAUCUACCCAGUGUAAUGACAUGUGCUAAUUACCUGAAGUUGCCACCUUACUCUUCAAAGGACAAGAUGAAAGAGAAGCUUUUGUACGCCAUAACAGAAGGACAAGGGUCAUUCCAUCUUUCAUAGUUUCACUGCUACAUAGAUUGUGAAUUUGUAAUUAUUAGCAUAGGUGCUUUUGUACAGGGAAAAGAAAGAAUGAAUGCCUGGUGAGUGGUCGGAAUUGAUGAAGGUAGGAAACGACGACUGAUUAUUAUGGAACAAGAGGAAGCUCCUUGUCUUCACUGACUAUGCAUUUGGUGGGAUGUGUACAUAGGGUUGAGAUACAGUUAGUUGAUUCACAGAAGUUGGGAAGUUGUACAGAAUAUCUUUAUCAUUGGAUGGACUGGCUUUCCAACAUUCCUUGUACAAAUCAGUGUACAGAUAUCUUUACCAUGGAAGAAUCUGCUCAGACAGUUUCGGAUAUUAGUAUUUAAUUAACAUAUUGCUAAUGUUAUUGACAAAGUUGUUUACAGAAUGCAUGGGGUCUUUUCUUUUAGCUAUUCAUUU